UACGUAGGCAGCAAGCGUUGUUCGGAAUUACUGGGCGUAAAGAGUGUGUAGGCGGUGCUCCAAGUCUGGUGUGAAAUCUCCCGGCUCAACUGGGAGGGUGCGCUAGAAACUGGAAUGCUAGAGGAUGGGAGAGGUAAGCGGAAUUCCUGGUGUAGCGGUGAAAUGCGUAGAUAUCAGGAGGAAUACCGAUGGCGAAGGCAGGUCUCUGGGCUGACACUGACGCUCAUGCACGAAAGCGUGGGGAGCAAACAGG
rnacentral:rRNA from 1 species